rnacentral:rRNA from 1 species
GACCCGAUUAGCAGCUUCCGGGAAACCAAAGUUUUUCGUUUCCGGGGGAAGUAUGGUUGCAAAGCUGAAACUUAAAGGAAUUGACGGAAGGGCACCACCAGGAGUGGAGCCUGCGGCUUAAUUUGACUCAACACGGGAAAACUCACCCGGCCCGGACACCGUAAGGAUUGACAGACUGAGAGCUCUUUCUUAAUUCGGUGGGUGGUGGUGCAUGGCCGUUCUUAGUUGGUGGAGCGAUUUGUCUGGUUAAUUCCGAUAACGAACGAGACUCUGGCCUAUUAAAUAGACGAUAUAUUUAAAAGUAUAUCGCGCUUCUUAGAGGGACAAGCGGCGUCUAGCCGCAUGAAAUAGAGCAAUAACAGGUCUGUGAUGCCCUUAGAUGUCCGGGGCUGCACGCGCGCUACACUGAAAGAAUCAGUGUGCGUUACGCCUAGUUCGGAAGAACCGGGUAACCCAAGUAAAUUCUUUCGUGCUUGGGAUAGGGAAUUGCAAUUAUUUCCCUUAAACGAGGAAUUCCCAGUAAAUGCGGGUCAUAAGCUCGCGUUGAUUACGUCC